rfam:Camelus ferus unplaced genomic scaffold scaffold699, whole genome shotgun sequence.
GAAGGUAUAGCUCAGUGGUAGAGUUCAUGCUUAGCAGGCAUGAGGUCCUGGGUUCAAUCCCCAGUACCUCCA